rnacentral:rRNA from 1 species
UACGUAGGGUCCGAGCGUUGUCCGGAGUUACUGGGCGUAAAGCGCGCGCAGGCGGCCCGCGAGGUGUCACGUGAAAGCCCCCGGGCUCAACUCGGGGAGGGUCGUGGCAAACCGGCGGCUUGAGGCCGGUAGAGGUGGGUGGGAACUCCUGGUGGAGUGGUGAAAUGCGUAGAGAUCAGGAAGAACACCCGUGGCGAAGCGGCCCACUGGGCCGGUACUGACGCUGAGGCGCGAAGGCGUGGGGAGGCGAACGGGAUUGAGAAACCCCAGUAGGUCCAGACCGAAGUACCAUCUGCUACCA